rnacentral:rRNA from 1 species
CUACAUGAGCGCAGCCUGAUCCAGCCAUACCGCGUGGGUGAAGAAGGCCUUCGGGUUGUAAAGCCCUUUUGUUGGGAAAGAAAUCCAGCUGGUUAAUACCCGGUUGGGAUGACGGUACCCAAAGAAUAAGCACCGGCUAACUUCGUGCCAGCAGCCGCGGUAAUA